AGAGUUUGAUCCUGGCUCAGAUUGAACGCUGGCGGCAGGCCUAACACAUGCAAGUCGAGCGGUAGCACAAGAGAGCUUGCUCUCUGGGUGACGAGCGGCGGACGGGUGAGUAAUGUCUGGGAAACUGCCUGAUGGCGGGGGAUAACUAGUGGAAACGGUAGCUAAUACCGCAUAACGUCGCAAGACCAAAGUGGGGGACCUUCGGGCCUCACGCCAUCAGAUGUGCCCAGGUGGGAUUAGCUGGUAGGUGGGGUAACGGCUCACCUAGGCGACGAUCCCUAGCUGGUCUGAGAGGAUGACCAGCCACACUGGAACUGAGACACGGUCCAGACUCCUACGGGAGGCAGCAGUGGGGAAUAUUGCACAAUGGGCGCAAGCCUGAUGCAGCCAUGCCGCGUGUGUGAAGAAGGCCUUCGGGUUGUAAAGCACUUUCAGCGAGGAGAAAGGGUAAUGUGUUAAUAAGACAUUGCAUUGACGUUACUCGCAGAAGAAGCACCGGCUAACUCCGUGCCAGCAGCCGCGGUAAUACGGAGG
rnacentral:rRNA from 1 species